CUUGGGAGUCGGGCGGGCGUGGUCGUCGCCAACCUGGUCAGGGCCGGAAGGCAGCAGCCACAACGAUUUCGCCACGGGUCGUUCCGGCUCCCACCUCUU
rnacentral:SRP_RNA from 1 species